rnacentral:rRNA from 1 species
UACGAAGGGGGCUAGCGUUGCUCGGAAUCACUGGGCGUAAAGGGUGCGUAGGCGGGUUUUUAAGUCAGAGGUGAAAUCCUGGAGCUCAACUCCAGAACUGCCUUUGAUACUGAAGUAUUGUGAGUAUGGGAGAGGUGAGUGGAACUGCGAGUGUAGAGGUGAAAUUCGUAGAUAUUCGCAAGAACACCAGUGGCGAAGGCGGCUCACUGGCCCAUAACUGACGCUGAGGCACGAAAGCGUGGGGAGCAAACAGGG